rnacentral:rRNA from 1 species
CACGCCCUAAACGAUGUCUACUAGUUGUUGGGAAGGGAGACCUUCUUAGUAACGCAGCUAACGCGUGAAGUAGACCGCCUGGGGAGUACGGUCGCAAGAUUAAAACUCAAAGGAAUUGACGGGGGCCCGCACAAGCGGUGGAUGAUGUGGAUUAAUUCGAUGCAACGCGAAAAACCUUACCUACCCUUGACAUGUCUGGAACCUCGCAGAGACGCGGGGGUGCCUUCGGGAGCCAGAACACAGGUGC